CUACAGAGGCCCCAAGCAUUAUCCGGAUUCACUGGGCGUAAAGGGUACGUAGGCGGUGCUAUUAGUCGGGCGUUAAAUCCUGGUGCUCAACCCCAGACUCGCAUUCGGAACGGUAACACUCGAAGAAGUAAGAGGUGAGCAGAACUCUCGGUGUAGGGGUGAAAUCCGUUGAUAUCGAGGGGAAUACCAAAUGCGAAGGCAGCUCACUGGUACUUUCUUGACGCUGAGGUACGAAAGCGUGGGUAGCGAACGGGAUUAGAAACCCCAGUAGUCC
rnacentral:rRNA from 1 species